rnacentral:rRNA from 1 species
GACGAACGCUGGCGGCGUGCUUAACACAUGCAAGUCGAACGGAAAGGCCCUGCAUUCUUGGGGUGCUCGAGUGGCGAACGGGUGAGUAACACGUGAGUAACCUGCCCUUGACUAUGGGAUAACUUCAGGAAACUGGGGCUAAUACCGGAUAGGAGCUCCUGCUUCAUGGCGUGGGUGGGAAAGUUUCGGCGGUUGGGGAUGGACUCGCGGCUUAUCAGCUUGUUGGUGGGGUAGUGGCUUACCAAGGCUUUGACGGGUAGCCGGCCUGAGAGGGUGACCGGCCACAUUGGGACUGAGAUACGGCCCAGACUCCUACGGGAGGCAGCAGUGGGGAAUAUUGCACAAUGGGCGGAAGCCUGAUGCAGCAACGCCGCGUGCGGGAUGACGGCCUUCGGGUUGUAAACCGCUUUCGCCUGUGACGAAGCGUGAGUGACGGUAAUGGGUAAAGAAGCACCGGCUAACUACGUG